AAGGGAAAAACACCGGCGAAGAUUUACAGGUCUUACACGCGGACACUCGUUAGGCAGAACAGCGAUCUACAGAGCUAAAACUGGUCACCUCCUCGCAAGAGAAAACCUACAAAUCAAACUCACUGCUUCGUCUCGAAACGCUCGUCCAAUCCAUGGUGGAUAAAGGAGAUGUCUAGUAGAUUCCUCCACAACAAAUAUACCUCACACCGACGAAUCCAAAAAGCUAGAACAAGGCGAAAA
rnacentral:lncRNA from 1 species